rnacentral:rRNA from 1 species
CCUACGGGAGGCAGCAGUGAGGAAUAUUGGUCAAUGGACGAGAGUCUGAACCAGCCAAGUAGCGUGAAGGAUGACUGCCCUAUGGGUUGUAAACUUCUUUUAUAUGGUAAUAAAAUGUUCCACGUGUGGGAUUUUGUAUGUACCAUAUGAAUAAGGAUCGGCUAACUCCGUGCCAGCAGCCGCGGUAAUACGGAGGAUCCGAGCGUUAUCCGGAUUUAUUGGGUUUAAAGGGCGCGUAGGUGGAUUGUUAAGUCAGUUGUGAAAGUUUGCGGCUCAACCGUAAAAUUGCAGUUGAAACUGGCAGUCUUGAGUACAGUUGAGGUAGUCGGAAUUCCUGGUGUAGCGGUGAAAUGCUUAGAUAUCACUAAGAACCCCGAUUGAGAAGGCAGCUUACUAAACUGUGACUGACAUUGAUGCUCGAAAGUGUGGGUAUCAAACAGGAUUAGAUACCCCGGUAGUC